ACUCCCGUCCAGCCAUAGCUCGAGCGUGAAAAAACCGUCGCAAGCAUUGGGGGCGGCUCGGAGAGAACCUCGGAGGGGCUGAAAUGCCC
rnacentral:ncRNA from 1 species